UUACAAUGAAGAGUUUGAUCCUGGCUCAGGAUGAACGCUAGCUACAGGCUUAACACAUGCAAGUCGAGGGGCAUCAGGAAGAAAGCUUGCUUUCUUUGCUGGCGACCGGCGCACGGGUGAGUAACACGUAUCCAACCUGCCCUUUACUCGGGGAUAGCCUUUCGAAAGAAAGAUUAAUACCCGAUAGCAUAAUGAUUCCGCAUGGUUUCAUUAUUAAAGGAUUCCGGUAAAGGAUGGGGAUGCGUUCCAUUAGGUUGUUGGUGAGGUAACGGCUCACCAAGCCUUCGAUGGAUAGGGGUUCUGAGAGGAAGGUCCCCCACAUUGGAACUGAGACACGGUCCAAACUCCUACGGGAGGCAGCAGUGAGGAAUAUUGGUCAAUGGGCGCUAGCCUGAACCAGCCAAGUAGCGUGAAGGAUGAAGGCUCUAUGGGUCGUAAACUUCUUUUAUAUAAGAAUAAAGUGCAGUAUGUAUACUGUUUUGUAUGUAUUAUAUGAAUAAGGAUCGGCUAACUCCGUGCCAGCAGCCGCGGUAAUACGGAGGAUCCGAGCGUUAUCCGGAUUUAUUGGGUUUAAAGGGAGCGUAGGUGGACUGGUAAGUCAGUUGUGAAAGUUUGCGGCUCAACCGUAAAAUUGCAGUUGAUACUGUCAGUCUUGAGUACAGUAGAGGUGGGCGGAAUUCGUGGUGUAGCGGUGAAAUGCUUAGAUAUCACGAAGAACUCCGAUUGCGAAGGCAGCUCACUGGACUGCAACUGACACUGAUGCUCGAAAGUGUGGGUAUCAAACAGGAUUAGAUACCCUGGUAGUCCACACAGUAAACGAUGAAUACUCGCUGUUUGCGAUAUACAGUAAGCGGCCAAGCGAAAGCAUUAAGUAUUCCACCUGGGGAGUACGCCGGCAACGGUGAAACUCAAAGGAAUUGACGGGGGCCCGCACAAGCGGAGGAACAUGUGGUUUAAUUCGAUGAUACGCGAGGAACCUUACCCGGGCUUAAAUUGCAGUGGAAUGAUGUGGAAACAUGUCAGUGAGCAAUCACCGCUGUGAAGGUGCUGCAUGGUUGUCGUCAGCUCGUGCCGUGAGGUGUCGGCUUAAGUGCCAUAACGAGCGCAACCCUUAUCUUUAGUUACUAACAGGUUAUGCUGAGGACUCUAGAGAGACUGCCGUCGUAAGAUGUGAGGAAGGUGGGGAUGACGUCAAAUCAGCACGGCCCUUACGUCCGGGGCUACACACGUGUUACAAUGGGGGGUACAGAAGGCAGCUAGCGGGUGACCGUAUGCUAAUCCCAAAAUCCUCUCUCAGUUCGGAUCGAAGUCUGCAACCCGACUUCGUGAAGCUGGAUUCGCUAGUAAUCGCGCAUCAGCCACGGCGCGGUGAAUACGUUCCCGGGCCUUGUACACACCGCCCGUCAAGCCAUGGGAGCCGGGGGUACCUGAAGUACGUAACCGCAAGGAUCGUCCUAGGGUAAAACUGGUGACUGGGGCUAAGUCGUAACAAGGUAGCCGUACCGGAAGGUGCGGCUGGAACACCUCCUUUCU
rnacentral:rRNA from 2 species